AGCUCUGUAGAUGCGAGUAGAGAGUGAAGAGAAGAAAUAAAUUCACUACAUUAAAGAAAUCCAAGAAAUUAAUUCAAAAUAAAAAUAAAAAGAGAAAUUCUUCAUGGAGGCGGAGGGGAGGACGAGGGAAAUCAAUGAAAUGGCUUCAAUUUCUUCCCCAAUCUUUGUCAUGGAAAACCCAUUGAAACCCCAGAAUUUAUUCCCCAAUCUUUGUCAAGAACUCCACUGCUAAUUCCAGCAGAGUUACUUCGAUUUCUCUCUGGUUCCUGAAGCGGCCAUUACCGCUGCCGUCGCCGGCGAAGCACAUCAAAGCUUGGCUGAGAGAAGGCGGAGAGUGGAGCAAGAUGGAAGCAAAUCGUGAUGGAGGAAGAGGGAAGGAAGGUGGGAGAGGAAAGGAAAGGCCAGUGAAGGAGAAGGCGGCCUUCACACCACUCCGGCGAACAACGUUCCGGCGUCCAGCAGAGAGAAGGCGGCAGAGGAGAAGGUGAGGGUGGAGGCGCAGAGAGAGAGAGCCGAUAGUCUCUUUGAAUUCUAGGUUCCAAUUCAGAUGAGAGACAGAGAGACAUUUUUUUGUUUUAAAGUUGUUUUAAUUAGGCUUUCAAUUAGGGUUUUAAUUAAUAUUAAUUGCUCCCUUAUUUUUUCCAAAAUAGGAAACGUGCCAUCAAUAGCGGGACAACCCAAAAAGGAAAACGUG
rnacentral:lncRNA from 1 species